rnacentral:lncRNA from 1 species
ACCAGGACAAAUUCCAAGCCCAAUCAACCAAAUUAAACCCAAACUCAACAAGCCGAACUAAGCCCACCAUUAUCAAUGCCAAAUCACACUCAAACUCUCCACAUUAAAACAAGCCCAAAUUCCUCAAACCUAAAGCGACUAAGGAACGCUCAUGGACUUACUAACAACGGUAGCCCAGUCCGACGAGCCCAAAUCAGGCCACAAAAUCAGAACGACGAGGGAAAAAAAAGGGGCCGUCGAUUGUGCUCCCUAACCGGCUCAGGGGCAGUGAAUUAGGGUGAGCUCGAUAGAUUAGACAAUGUCCGGUUGCCUCGCACACCCCCAAGCCAGAAUCCUCGAGAACUCAACGCAACGCACCUAAAAGAAGAACAAACAAGAUUCGAACCAAGACCUACCGUGACUUCAACACAAGAAGAAGGCUAACAUCGGUAGGUUGUCGGUUGAGUUUCGAGUGUGUCUGUCGCCGGAGGACAAUCGCUUGGUUUCUCACUGCAGAUCUUUUUUCCUCUCUUUUCUCUCUCUCUCUCUCUGUUUCUUUUUUUUUUUUCCUUUUGUCCUGAACCUUUCUGAACUCCCCAGUCAGCAUCCAAAGGCAUCCUUUUAUAGGCUCUCGACCUACGGAAGAGUCCAAUCGGUGGAGACCCUUCACCCUCCAGUCUCUAGCACGCUAGCUAGUCUUUAGGACAGUCCCUUCUCCUCCUCCGUGCUCUGGUGUUGACUUGUGCUCUACUGUGUAAUUUAAUGAAUUUUUUUUUUUAGAGGAAAAAAUUAAUCCAUAAUUUUCAAUAUAACUUAACUUUAAGUCGACAACCAAAACUUUGGUGUCGACCGCCAAAAUUAGAGUAAUGAAAAAGACUAUUGUCAUUGGAAGAACAAUAUGAAAAGAGGGAUUGGAUAAACCAACAAUAUGAAAAAGGUUAUUAAGCAAGAAGAGAUGGACAAAAGCUUAACAGCUCAAUUCUAGAUGGAUAUCCCUACAAUCAAGGAAGACUUGGGGUCGUCUCUCUCUCUCACUCUCACAUAUAAACAUACAAGAGCAAAGAGUCAUUGUCCAUUCUCUCUUUUUUGUGAAGACCACUUACUUAACGAUCACAUCUCUCUCUCUCCCUACAAUCAAGGAAGACUUGGGGUCGUCUCUCUUUCUCACUCUCACACAUCACUCUCACAUAUACAUACAAGAGCAAAGAGUCAUUGUCCGUUCUCUCUGUUUCGUGAAGACCACUCACUUAACGAUCACAUCUCUCUCUCUCCCUACAAUUAAGGAAGACUUGGGGUCGUCUCUCUCUCACUCUCACACAUCACUCUCACAUCUAGACAUACAAAAGCAAAGAGUCAUUGUUCGUUCUCUCUUUUUCGUGAAGACCACUCACUUAACGAUCACAUCUCUCUCUCUCCCUACAAUCAAGGAAGACUUGGGGUCGUCUCUCUCUCACUCUCACACAUCACUCUCACAUCCAGACAUACAAAAGCAAAGAGUCAUUAUCCGUUCUCUCUUUUUUGUGAAGACCACUCACUUAAUGAUCACAUCUCUCUCUCUCCCUACAAGCAAGGAAGACUUGGGGUCGUCUCUCUCUCACUCUCGCACAUCACUCUCACAUCCAAACAUACAAGAGCAAAGAGUCUUUGUUCGUUCUCUCUUUUUCGUAAAGACCACUCUAACAAUCACAUUUCUCUCUCUCUCUCUCUCUCUCUCUCUCUCUCUCGCGCGUGACCUAACCUCGGGUGAAUCACCUAGGGUUUGGCUAAUGGAUUUCUAAGCCUAAACUUAGCUCGGGCUCUCCCAAGCCCAUUCCAACUUGCGACUUAGGUUCAAAUUCUCAACAUGCAAAUGAUUUUUCAAUUUUGAAUCGUCACUAAUCUAUUUUUGAUUGGUCGAUUAGAAACCAAGUAAAAUAGCAAGAUAAUUACUUUACUCUUAUGAACCAGAGAUUGUGAAUUCAAGGACUUGAUUACGCUAGAUUUUUCUAAUACCAUUUUGAUACCUUUCUCUUUUAUUUCGAAAGAAAUAUUUUACAGGCAGCUUGAAUUGAUUUUAAUUUACUUCCCUAAUAUGUGAGGUAAUCAUAAGGGUACGCAAACACCAAUUUAACACCCAAAUAAAACAAUAAAUAAAUUACGAGACUUACCUCAUAACAACGAAUUAACACGUAAUUACUUAAUUUUUGUUUUACUUAUUUAAUGAGAUCAUGUUUUAUGCAGUACAUGCUACUAAUGAAGUGAUAUGACAUAGCAAUAUGACUUAAAUUAUAUGACAUAAGUAUAAUAUUUUUUUUUUGUUUUCUUAAUAAACAUGCAAUCUAUCCUAGAGAAUGAAAUUGAUUUAUUCUACGACAAUUUUUUGAGUAUUUUACAUGAAAUUCGAAAUUAGAAAAUUGCAAAAAUUAUCUAUCCAGAUUAAGAUAUCAUCCAACUUAUAUUAGGAAUUAGAUUAGGCCAAAUCCUAAUUUAAACUAGAAUGUUAUCUUAACUUAGUAAUCCCUAACCUAAAAUGCAAUAUAUCUAGGAAAAAUUAUCUAAACUUAUAAUAAAUUACAAAUGUUAUCUAGAAUGAAAUUAAAUGUGCAAUCUCAUCAUAAUAUGCAAUGACUAGAUGACGUGCAAAGAAUGCCAUAACUCUAGUUUUUUUCUUUUUCUUUUUUAUGAAAUUCGAAAUUAAAAUUGUCAAAUAAUUAAACGUGCAAUUUAAAUUAAUGAAAUGAAAAUCAAACACCCUAAAUUAAUUUUUUUUUUAGGCAUUUUAUCUAAGAAAUUCGAAAUAAAUAAAUUUCCUAUUCUAAACAUGCAAAAUAAUCCUAAAACAAGUGAUAUUCCAACAUGAACCUAAUCUAAAUAUAUUUUUUGGGAUUUUUCUUUUACGGGAGCAACCAAAUAAAGGCAUCAAGAACAGCACGGCAACAAAUCAGGCGAGAUAUCAUACAUAUUCAUUUAAUUUUGAAAAUAAAUUGACGAAUCAUGCCUCACGCAUAAGAUCGGAUUAGUCAAUUUUAAACAAAAUCACGAAUCGUAUCUCUGAGAUCGGAUUGACGAUUUUUUCGUGCGAUUGCAAGUCGUAUUUCGAGCAUAAAAUCAUACUAUAAAUCAUAUGCACGUUGCGAAAUUAGGAAAAUUUCGGCUACUCAAGUUACCAAUAUCACGUCGGAGAUUUCACUAAUGCAUGAGGGAAUUUUUCAAAUAAAUAAAGAAACAAAAUAUUUGAAAACCCAAAAAUACAAUAUUUUUACCUAAUUGAGUUUUGGUUUCCAAGUCCAGCUUAGCGAACGGCAGCUCAUGGAUCACGAUGGAGGCUCGGCGUGGCUCGAGGAAGGGUCGCUGUGGUGGCGGGGGCAGAGACAACGUCGCAGCUUCGGAAGCGGUGGCACAGCGAG